UACGGGGGGGCAAGCGUUGUUCGGAAUUACUGGGCGUAAAGGGCUCGUAGGCGGCCAACUAAGUCGGAUGUGAAAUCCCCAGGCUCAACUUGGGAACUGCAUCCGAUACUGGAUGGCUUGAAUUCGGGAGAGGAUGCAGAAUUCCAGGUGUAGCGGUGAAAUGCGUAGAUAUCUGGAGGAAUACCGGUGGCGAAGGCGGCAUCCUGGACCCGACAUUGACGCUGAGGAGCGAAAAGCUAGGGGAGCAACGGGG
rnacentral:rRNA from 1 species